GUCUGUGGUCAUAUCACUCUGAACGUGCCUGAUCUCGGAAGCUAGGCAGGGUCAGGCCUGGUUAGUACUUGGAUGGGAGGAUAAGAGUGACAUAACAUAUGGAGCCACUGGUU
rnacentral:rRNA from 1 species